rnacentral:rRNA from 1 species
GUAGGUGGCAAGCGUUGUCCGGAAUUAUUGGGCGUAAAGCGCGCGCAGGUGGGUUCUUUAAGUCUGAUGUGAAAGCCCCCGGGCUCAACCGGGGAGGGUCAUUGGAAACUGGGGAACUUGAGUGCAGGAGAGGAAAGUGGAAUUCCACGUGUGGCGGUGAAAUGCGUAGAUAUGUGGAGGAACACCAGUGGCGAAGGCGACUUUCUGGCCUGUAACUGACACUGAGGCGCGAAAGCGUGGGGAGCAAACAGGAUUAGAUACCCUGGUAGUCCACGCCGUAAACGAUGAGUGCUAAGUGUUGGGGGGGUUUCCGCCCCUCAGUGCUGCAGCUAACGCAUUAAGCACUCCGCCUGGGGAGUACGGCCGCAAGACUG